rnacentral:lncRNA from 1 species
GGUUGACCAAAGAUGAGAAGCAACAUGUCGCUGAUUUGACAAAGAGACAUGUACCCCCUAGACACAUAUUGCUUUCCUUGCAAGAGCGAGAUCCUGAGAAUGUCACUCGGAUUACGCAAGUAUACAAGCAUAAGAGUGUGAUACAAAAAAAGAUAAGAGGUCCUAGGAGUGAGAUACAACAUCUGUUUAAGCUUAUUGAGGAUG